UUCUUCUUCUUCUUCUUCUUUUCCUAUUAACUUUUUUAGAACAUACAGAAUUUCAGUUUCUUUGUACUGUGAGGCCUGUGGACAGAAUGGACGCCUUUUUAGAUGGCAUUUUUUUUAAUACAUUCAUUGGCACAUUUAAAUUCAUCAAUAUUUCAACAAUUACAGCAAACAACAUAAAGAAAUUAUGGUUUAAUAUCAUGUACCACUUAUCUUUUGGCCAUCUUACCUAUUCAAAGUUGAAGAGGAAAUCUAUUUUGUGCCAUCAAGAGGAUACCAAUCAUGAAAUGAAUCUGUAAUAACUGAUUCCAGUCUAGUCUUAUAAUUCUGUUUUUGACAUUUUCAUAUGAGUUGAUGCAGAAGCUUGUGAAAGUUACUCAUUGUGGUAUUUAUGGUGUCAUAUCUGUUUUUCUUGGUACUUUAGCUGGUUUUAGGGUACCCCUUUUCUUUUCUCUUUCCUUGAGAUUAAGGCAUAGUUGUUGUUGUUGUUGUUUGAGAUAUUUUAAACUCAGGUUAAAAUUAAUUUCGAUCCUUUACAGUCUGAUGAGAGUAUAGUUCAAACACGGGUACAAGUAACUUGUAGAAUAAUUCAUGGAUCAAUCAGAGCAAACACAACAACAACAACAUUCCCAGCAACCACAGCAGCCUGUAAUGGGAGUGGUAGCUGGUGCAGGUCAGAUGUCCUAUGCUACUACCCCCUACCAAACUGCUGCAAUGAUGGCUUCUGGAACACCUGCCAUAGCUGUGGCUUCCCCAACUCAGCCGUCAUCCCCUUUCUCUAAUUCUCCUCAUCAGCUUACCUACCAACAGGCCCAGCACUUUCACCAUCAACGGCAGCAGCAGCAGCUUCAAGUGUUCUGGGCCAACCAAAUGCAAGAAAUUGAGCAAACAACUGACUUCAAGAAUCACAGCCUCCCACUUGCUCGAAUUAAAAAAAUAAUGAAAGCUGAUGAAGACGUCCGAAUGAUUUCAGCUGAGGCUCCUGUUAUAUUUGCUAAGGCGUGUGAAAUGUUCAUCUUGGAGCUAACUCUGCGCUCUUGGAUUCACACAGAAGAGAACAAGAGGAGGACAUUACAAAAGAAUGAUAUUGCAGCUGCCAUUUCGAGGACUGACGUUUUUGAUUUCUUGGUUGAUAUUAUUCCCAGAGAUGAAUUAAAAGAGGAGGGAUUAGGGGUCACUAAGGCUACUAUUCCUAUGGUUGGUUCUCCUGCUGAUAUUCCGUAUUACUAUGUCCCACCACAGCCUCCUGUGGGACCUCCAGGGAUGAUCAUGGGAAAGCCAGUUGAUCAAGCAGCAGCCUAUGGAGCCCAGCAGCCUCGACCACCUGUGGCAUUCAUGCCGUGGCCACAGACUCAACCACAGCAACAAGAAGCUCAACAGCAGCAAAGUGAUACUUCAUGAAGGGCCAGGUAAUGUGAACUGUUGAUUAUCAGCAUAGAGCUGGUGAUCGACAAUGAAUUUUAGUAGCAUCUUGUAUCUUUAGUGAAAGGGUUAGCGUUAGUCUCUUGUAAUGCUAGAACUGAGUUGUUUAUGCUUGUCAAAUGUGAGGCAGCUGGAUCAUGUAUGGGCUUGUGUUUCCUCUUAUUUUGACAAAUCUCUAUGAUUGUGCGUCUUUAAUUUUGUGGUGGUAUCUGGAUAGAAGGGAAGUAUGAUGGCUGUAAUUUUCAAAUUUUGGUUGACUAAUCUGGUGAUGGAUAGAGCUUCAAAGGAAUCUGACUGUUAUUGCAGCUAUUAUUUGCGGAUAUGUUAACAGGCUUUCUUCUAGGAAUCUUCCGAAUUUUCAACUCCUUUUUGUAAUCCAUUAUUCCCAGUCCGUCUUUGUGGAUGGAAGCAGACUCGGGGGUUGGCCGUUGGGCUUUGCCCAGUAAUCUUCAACCCCAAGUGCAUUUCUUUUGGAUUUUGUAUCUUCCCCUUCAACAGAAAUGUAGUUUCAGGCGGGGUUGAUUGAUAUAAAAAUGUAUUUUAGCACUUGGGUAGAAUAUUACUGGGAGCCAGCUAGCUGCAUCAACCUAACAUUUGGCCCUUCAAAAUGAAACCUGGUUUUAAACAUGAUAGAUAGAAGUGUGUGCCGUUGUUAUGAUGCUUCUCACAUUGGUCCCUUCCUCUGCUUGCUUAAAGAGUGUGCGUCUCAGGGGAAGAGGCUCAUUGCCGGUUAACUAUAAAUUUGUAUCUGAUCUUUAAUUGUAACUGCCAAACUACUUAAAGGCUACUUCUCAAGCUGUCUUCCAUCGAGGACACCGCGCCUUAUGAAUAUUGAAAAAUGCAGGUUAACA
rnacentral:misc_RNA from 1 species